rnacentral:tRNA from 1 species
AACUAGGUGGCUGAGUGAUGAAGCGUUGGUCUCUUAAACCAUUUUACGGUAAAUACUUCUAGUUG